AAAAGCGCGGGUCAUAAUUCAGUUUUAGUGCGGAUCGUGUAGUCCGCCACUAUAUCAGAGUGCGAUCAUUCGCAUCGCCAAUGUUCAUAGAAGGAACAAGAAGACGUUGAACAGCGACUUGAUCGGAAUGAUGCUGUGUUCGAUCCUGAAGCUGCUGAAAACGAUGACUUCGAGUAAUGGAGCUCUCCGUUUUCGAGUUCAGCACUAAUGACGAAUACAUGCCUAGGAAAGAAAGGGAAGCAUGAAGAGGAUGCCUUCUGUGGCUGAUGCAAGGAGUGGUUUUGAUAUUCGAUUGUAUAUGUGCCUCUUAUGGCUGAUGGAAAAGGAUGCCUCACUGCUAGUGUGGAACCCCCAAGGUAACCUACUAUUCCACCUCUCUUUUCCGUAGUCAAACUUUGGAAUUAGAAAAGAAUACCGUCUCAUCUGAUUGGACAAAUUGUCCAAUCAUAAUUUCCACACGUCAAAUUCUUUAAAUAUUUUAAUAUUUUUGUGAGAGAAUGUUAGUGUUAAAAUAGGUCCAUUUUGAAAAUUUGCAAAAAUACAAAACUAUUUACAAACGUAGUGUAAAUUUUUUAUUUUAUUGGGUUCCGUCUUUACAAAAGACGGGAACAGAAAUUUUUUUAUUAAUCUUUUUAAGUUCAGUCAAGACUGAAACACAUAUAUACACGAAAACUUUUGGGUUUUUCCUUUUAUUUUCAUUUUUCUAAGUCCAAUUUUAAAACUUAAAAUAUUUUUUUCUCUUUCAAAGUUAGAACAUUGAAGCCCUCUUUGACAUUUAAAUAAACAAUAAAAUGAUCAAUUAGUUUUCUAAGUUUAUAUUAAAUAUUAAAUACAAUAGAAAUUUAUUGAGUUGCAAUAAAACAAUAAAACAAUAAAAAUGACUCUUUCAGUGUUUAUAAAAAAUAUAUUUCAGUUUUUUUGUAAAAAUGACUCUAACUUUUUUUUUUUGCAAAUUCUUUUCAAAAUGACCCCAUUUUAGCACUAAAGCCGUGGGGCACAAAGUUUGGUACAUCUUGAGAUGCUCCAAACAUUUCCAAGAAAAAAAAUCAAUAGAAACAUAACAACAAAUAAUUAAAUUUAUUUUGUCAUUUUUAUAUUUUUUAAUUCGGUAAGAAUAAAAAGAUCAGAAAUUAAAACAUAACAAGUUUAAAAGUGCAUAACUCGAAUUUUAUUUUACUUGAAUUGUAUAUGAUUGUUUUGGGCGCGCUAUAGCAUACAGUAGUUAUAGAUAUAGUGUUAUUUUAGAAGAAUUUAAAUGUCAAUUCGAUAUUUUAAAAACCAGAAUGUUUUCAAAAGUGAAUAAGUAGAACAUCAAGGAAAUAGUUGAGGAUUGAUAUGGAAUUUACAAAAACAAUAAAAUUUCACUUUUGUAAUAGGUAAUAGAUAUCCGUAAUUUUUUUCAAUAAUGUUGCUAUUUAAAAACAAAUUUUCUUUUUCAAAAAGUUCUAAUUAAUUAAAUGUUUGGUAAUUUAAAAUUUUGAUCAAUUUCUUAAAUUUUUUUUAUAAGAAAGAUGAUUUACAAUUUGUGGUUUUUUAUUAACUUUAUGGUAGUUAGUACGUUGGAACAAACCAAAAAUAGUAACAAGUUAUUAAUGAGAAAUAAGAAAGAAGGAAGAAGAUGAUUAGAAUAUAUAUACGGUAAUCAAUGUGAUACAGAUGUCUCCUAGCUGUUAACUUUGUUAGCAGCUUUCCCCUCCCGAUCUACACCACUGUAUUUACAAUUAAAGCCUUGCGAAAGAUAUUCAACAACGUUUUCUUAGGGUUAAGAGUGGUUAAAUACUCAUAUACUUAAUUCAAAUGUAAAAAGUGCCUCCCCUAGUGAUCCAUCUUCCAAAAUCAAACAUCGGAUAGCUACUAUCCUCUCCAUUCUCUUCCGAGAAGUUCAUAAUUCUGCUCAUAAAACCCCACAAAUAAAUAACACACAAAAUACUUUAUCCUUAUAGGAGGGGAAAAAGGUUAUAACCUGAUUUUACAUUUAAACUUUUUUAAUAUUUGUGUAAAUUUUUUAUGAUCUUUUUUGUUAUAUUUGAAAGGACCCUUUAUGGAAAUGUAGUUUGUUUUUCUUGAUUUUUUUUACAAUGAUCAUGAUAUUUAUUUUGAUUUGAAAUUCUUUCUCAAAUUUCAUAAAUAAAUGCACGUUUUAAAAAUCUACUUUUCUUAGUUUUCAAUAUUAGGGUUGGUUUUUGGGUAGCAAAGAAUUAAAAACCUAGAAACAAAUUAUUUCAAAAAGCUACUAACAAAAUUGAAAACCAACCCUUAUUUGAUGACUUUUUUAUUUUUUUUGUAUUUUAAAGUUAUGUCUGUUCUCUCUUUCAUGUUUUAUAGUGUUGUGCAUUUUUUUGUAUGGAUGUUGAGUUUUUAGUCGAAUUCUAAGAACAAAAACAGCUUUUAGUUUAUAAUUGUAGGCGGUUUUUUGUUUUUGAAAAUUUAGCCGAAAAGUCAUACAAAUUUUGUUUUGUUUUUGUUUUUAAAAAAUUGACUAAAAAUUUAAUUAGAGAUAUACAAUUGUAAAAAAAUUACAAGAAAAUAAGGUCAUUUUUUAAAAAUAGAAAACAAAAACAAUUACAAAAAAUGCAGGGAGCUAAGUGGUUGUUUUCGAAAAGCUUAGGUUGUCUUGAAAAAUCAUUUUUUGGGUUUCUCUCAAUCUAUUACCAACAUUUUCAUCUUUCUUAAAGAAAUGUUUUAAUUCCCAAAACGACCAAUAUGGCUUUAGGUAUUGAACUUAAAAUUGUAAUUUGAGAAAAAAAAAAAAAAGAAACAAAAGUGACUUACUUGUUAUAGAGAUCUUCACAAGAAUAAAGCGAUUCAGAAUACCAAUCUGCUGUAAGAAAUCUCGAGGUCGUUCUGUAGUUUUAAUCAGUCGGUCAUUAUUUAUUGUAAUUUCGAAUUGUAAGGAGAUUAUAAGGAGAGACAAAGUAUUUAAAAUUACCUCAUUUCUAAAUCUUCAUCUUUAGAAGCGAUUGAUUCAGAACUUGAAACUACCUCCGGAAAUUCCGGGCUUAUGUACCUGCCCAUUUUUUUUCUCUUCUAAUUAUUAGCACAGCUAAAACAACCGAUAUUGAUAUCUUCUAUAUUUAAUA